GAUCGGCCACACCGGCCAGGAGACACGGCCCAGACUCUUACGGGGGGCAGCAGUAGGGGAUCUUCCGCAAUGGACGAAAGUCUGACGGAGCAACGCCGCGUGAGCGAAGAAGGUCUUCGGAUUUGUAAAGCUCUGUUGUUAGGGAAGAACAAGUACCGCAGUAACUGGCGGUACCUUGACGGUACCUAAACGAGAAAGCCACGGCUAACUACGUGCCAGCAGCCGCGGUAAUACGUAGGUGGCAAGCGUUGUCCGGAAUUAUUGGGCGUAAAGCGCGCGCAGGCGGUCCUUUAAGUCUGAUGUGAAAGCCCACGGCUCUACCGUGGAGGGUCAUUGGAAACUGGGGGACUUGAGUGCAGAAGAGGAGAGCGGAAUUCCACGUGUAGCGGUGAAAUGCGUAGAGAUGUGGAGGAACACCAGUGGCGAAGGCGGCUCUCUGGUCUGUAACUGACGCUGAGGCGCGAAAGCGUGGGGAGCAAACAGGAUUAGAUACCCUGGUAGUCCACGCCGUAAACGAUGAGUGCUAAGUGUUAGAGGGGUUACUCCCUUUAGUGCUGUAGCUAACGCAUUAAGCACUCCGCCGGCGAGUACGGUC
rnacentral:rRNA from 1 species